UGGGGAAUUUUCCGCAAUGGGCGAAAGCCUGAUCCAGCCAUGCCGCGUGUGUGAAGAAGGUCUUCGGAUUGUAAAGCACUUUAAGUUGGGAGGAAGGGCAGUAAGUUAAUACCUUGCUGUUUUGACGUUACCGACAGAAUAAGCACCGGCUAACUCUGUGCCAG
rnacentral:rRNA from 1 species